ensembl:snRNA U1 U1 spliceosomal RNA
AUACUUACCUGGCAGGGGAGAUACCAUGGUCAGGAUGGUGGUUCUCCCAAGACGAGACUGGACCAUUGCACUGUCGGUUCCGUUGACUCUUGCGAACUCCCCAAAUGUGGGAGUCUCGACUGCACAAUGUUUGGUAGUGGGGGUCCUGCGUCCGCGCGGUCCCCUG